rnacentral:tRNA from 1 species
CAUCAGAUGACUGAAAGCAAGUAUUGGUCUCUUAAACCAUUUUAUAGUAGGGCAAGCAACUACUUCUGAUGA